AUGAUGUAUCUCCAUAAUCAACAUUACCACCUGAUUUUAAACCCGCCCACUUUUUUGGGGGCAUCCUAUGUGUGUAAUUUCUGUUACAGUACAUAUAAUACACCAUUACACCACAGCUGUAAACAUAGAUGUAACACUUGUUACACACUCUGUCAACACCACAGGGGUCCCACAGUGAAAUGCAGCAACUGUAACCGCAUCUGCAAGUCACAACACUGUUACCAGCAACACAAAUUACCUGAAUUAAAACACAACAUGAUUCCCAGUGAUAAUAUGAAGCAUUGCAUGCACUGCGGCAACACAUAUAUAGAAUCCAAGAAAUUGCCACACAAUUGUGCGCAGCCUAGAUGCGAGCACUGCCGCGAACCUAAGUUAGCAGGAGACUCCGACCAUCAGUGUUUCAUACAGCCUGUUGAAAAACAGAAGCCUGGCGAUAAAUACAUUUUAUAUGAUUUUGAGACGAGGUACCACAACGGUAAACACGAGGCUAACUUUGUGUGUGCGUCUGAUCUGCAGGGCAAUAAGUUCACAUUUAAUACAUUAAAGUGUGUGGAGGCGUUUGUGCAGCAUUACAGAUGCCCAAGGUUUCGUGGGUACACUUUCAUAGCACAUAAUGCAUCUGGGUUUGAUAAUUACAUACUCCUGGAGUACUUGGUCAGACAGAGCAUAACACCUAGUGUCAUAAUGAACGGCAGCCGUGUGAUUUUGAUGUAUGACCGGGACUAUGACCAGCGGUGGAUUGAUUCGUUGAGCUUUUUGCCCACGGGCCUUGCCAAAAUACCCUCUGCUUUAGGUUUUCAAGACCUGCAGAAGGGCCAUUUCCCACACAGGUUUAAUAUGAGGGAUAAUGAGCAUUAUGUGGGCCCGUACCCAGACCCCUCCUUCUACGGCUAUGAGCACAUGUCUGAAAGUGAUAAGGUGCGAUUCAUGGAAUGGUACCAGGUUGCCUCACAGAAUCCCUUUGAUUUUCAGGCUGAACUCAGGCGCUACUGUGUUAAUGAUGUUGAUGUCCUGCGUAAAGCAUGCAGCAUAUAUCGUGACACGCUACUGGGUUGUACACAAGUUGAUCCAUUCACGUAUACCACCUUGGCUGCAUUUAGUAUGGGUGUGUAUAAAACGCUGUUUCUGCCCAGAGACAGGGACAAAAGAAAUAUUUUUAAUGUGCAUCUGCUCAUUAGAUUGUUUUAUGUACUUUAA
rnacentral:lncRNA from 1 species